UACUAGUAGUACAAGUAGUACAUACUAGUAGUAUUAGUACUAAUACUAGUAGGAUUAGUACUAGUACCAGAAGUUCUAAUUCUACUAGUAGUAC
rnacentral:tRNA from 1 species